rnacentral:tRNA from 2 species
GCGCUUGUAGCUCAGUGGUUAGAGCAGUGGACUCAUAAUCCAUUGGUCGUAGGUUCAAGUCCUACCAGGCGCA